UUUGCCACAUGCUGUUUGCUGCUACUUUUGAAAUCCUGGUUUGGGAAACUGUUUGUUUGCUGCCCAAAUAGGAUUUUUUGUGCUGGAUGACACUCUUGGAUUACUUAUCCGAGGACUUAUUUCCUUGAUGCUCUUGGGUGGCAGAAAUGCCAUUAGCCAAGAAAUUAAUGUAAUCUUUUGUUUGGAAAGACAUCUAUGUGAUCUCUUAAAGACUGCAAUCAGACCUGAUCUCAUUCUGAGGAAAUGGACUUUUGAUUGACUUAACUCAUUCUCUAGAAUCUUCUUCUGAUCACCCACGGUUACUAUUAGGGAUUGUUUGUUUGGCUGUUGUACUUGAUUGAUAAAUGUUUGUCAAUAUUGUAUUAUAUCAAUAUAUGUUUAUGAAAGAGUUUCUGAUGUUUUGACUGUUUUCUUUUCCAAUGUUCAGCAGCAGACUGAGUGUGUGGGGUUGAUAAGAUUGAAUAGGAGAAUUUAUGAACAACAACAACAAAAAACCUUCAUGGUUUCUAACAUCCUUACAUAGCACUGAUCUAGCUGUGAGGAAAAUAUGUUACUAAUGUAGAGUCAGUUUUUUUUUUUUUUUUUUUUUUUUUGGAUAUGCAGUUUAUGAGCGCACAAAGCGGACCUCCCACAGACAGGAAUUCAAAAUUCCACUUUCACAUCUCACAAUUCAGCUAGUGCAGGGCCCCCAGCAGUAUUGUUAAAGAGCCACAAUAAUGCUGAAAGAACGUUGAAAAGCUGAAUCUUUUAAAUGUGUUUAUAGCCCAUCUGUUGCAUACUUUGUGUUUG